rnacentral:rRNA from 1 species
UACGGGGGGGGUAAGCGUUGUUCGGAAUUACUGGGCGUAAAGGGCUCGUAGGCGGCCAACUAAGUCAUACGUGAAAUCCCUCAGCUUAACCGGGGAACUGCGUCUGAUACUGGAUGGCUUGAAUCCGGGAGAGGGAUGCGGAAUUCCAGGUGUAGCGGUGAAAUGCGUAGAUAUCUGGAGGAACACCGGUGGCGAAGGCGGCAUCCUGGACCGGCAUUGACGCUGAGGAGCGAAAGCCAGGGGAGCAAAGCGGG